rnacentral:rRNA from 1 species
AUUGAACGCUGGCGGCAUGCUUUACACAUGCAAGUCGAACGGUAACAGGUUAAGCUGACGAGUGGCGAACGGGUGAGUAAUGCAUCGGAACGUGCCCGAUCGUGGGGGAUAACGCAGCGAAAGCUGCGCUAAUACCGCAUACGAUCUGAGGACGAAAACGGGGGACCGUAAGGCCUCGCGUGAACGGAGCGGCCGAUGUCAGAUUAGGUAGUUGGUGGGGUAAAGGCUCACCAAGCCAACGAUCUGUAGCUGGUCUGAGAGGACGACCAGCCACACUGGGACUGAGACACGGCCCAGACUCCUACGGGAGGCAGCAGUGGGGAAUUUUGGACAAUGGGCGAAAGCCUGAUCCAGCAAUGCCGCGUGCAGGAAGAAGGCCUUCGGGUUGUAAACUGCUUUUGUACGGAGCGAAAAGGCCCUCUCUAAUACAGUGGGCUCAUGACGGUACCGUAAGAAUAAGCACCGGCUAACUACGUGCCAGCCGCCGCAGUAA